ensembl:lncRNA
AACAGAUAUUUGCAUGUCAUGUUUAUAGCACUAUUUGCAAUCGAUAAAAUGAGGAAGCCAACCAAGUGUCCACUGACAGAUGACUUCAGGAACAAAAUGUGAUCUUUGUGAACCAGGGCAUCUCUCAGAGCCUUGAAAAGGAAGUCCUGUCACUUGCCACCUUGCAGACGAGCCCUGAAGACAUGUGCAGUGAAACAGGCCAUCCACGAAGAACACACACAGGAUGGCUCUGCCCAUCUGAGCCACCUAGCAGUCAGGCAGCAAGUUUCCACCCAACCACCCGAUUGCAUGAGACAAAGAGGUACUCCAAGGACGGAAAACGACGACCCACAGAAAAACACUCCAAAAUGUUCACUUUAAUCAUUUCCAGGAAGCCGCUGGUAACAGAUGAGGGCUGAUCCACCGGCCCUGGCCUGUGUUUGUGCAGAGUAGACAAAGACGGGUGCCGAGUGUGUGGACACACAGACAUCAAGGCUAUGACAUCAACUCCUCACGGAUCAGAGCAUGAAAAGUUACCCUCUAGAGACAAAUGGCCUGCAGACUUGUUUGGACAUCAAGGAGACCCCGCUGGAGGCCCUGAGCUGUAGGAUCAAUAGCUGUGACCAGAUUUCAUCCACACAGCCUGCUUACAGACAUGGAUGGCACAGAAGAUUGAGGACCCACAGCUCAAGACCCAAGGUCAAGAUCUGAACCCAAGCCCGCUUGACUCCAGGGCAAAUCCCCCCAGUGGGGCCCCAGAUGCUCUGCACAGCAUCACCUGGGAUUCCUGCUUUAAAAAGCAGAGCCCAGGAACCCACCCAAGGCUUACUGAGCAGGAUUAUCUGGAGGUGGGUCCCAGGGAUCUGUGCUUCUUUUCCAAUAUUUUCUAUGGUGGUAAAAUACACAAAACAAAAUUUGCUAUCUUAGCUAUGCUAAGCAUAUCCUGAAGUACUCGGUGCUAUUAAGUGUACUCAGGUUGCUGUGUAACCAUCACCAGCAACCAUCUCCAGGACUCUUAUCCAUGAAACUACAACUCCCAUUCCCCUCCCCUCAGCCCUGGCAACCAGCAACCACCACUUCCUGUCUCUGUGAGUACUGCAGGGACCUCGUGCAAGUGGAAUCAAACAGCAUUGUGCAGGCGUGUGUGUGUGUCUGCACGCGUGUGCACAUGUGGGUGUUUGGCUUAUUUCAUUUACCAUAAUGUCUUCAAGGUUCAUCUGUGCUGUGGGAAAUAUCAGAAUAUCCGCCCCUUUUAAGAUGAACAGUAUGCGUUACAAUUACACACCGCUUCUCCUUACUCGUUCAUCCAUCCCUGGACACCUGAUUGUCUGCAUGUGUGAGCUGUGAGAAGAAUGCCACUAUGUACGUGUGUACACAGAAACACCCGCAAGACUCAGUCCUCGGUUUUUUACAUGUAUAUCCAGGAAUGAAAUUGCUGGAUCACGUGGUGAUCCUAUUUUCAAUUUUUCAAGGAAUUGUCAUGCUAUUUUCCAUAGUGACUAUACCAUUUUACAUUCCCACUAAGAGCACACAAGAAUUCCAAUUUCUCCACCUUCUUGUCAACAUGUUCUUUUCCAUUUUUGUUUUGUUUUGUUUUUGUUGUUGUUUUUGUUUUUGGUACCAGGGAUCGAACUUGGGUCCUAGCGCUUGCAGGGCAGGCAGCAGAACCACUGAACUAAAUCCCCUGCCCAUUUUCCAUUUUUUAAAUAGUACUCAGCCUAAUAGGUGUGUGGUGGCAUCUCAUUAUGGUUUUGGUUUGCAUUUCCCUAAUGAUUAGUGAUGUUGAAAUCUUUUCAUGUAGUUCUUGGCCAUUUAUUUGUGUAUCUUCUUUGGAAAAAUAUCUACUCAAGUUCUUGGUCCAUUUUACAAUCAGGUUGUUUUGCUGUUUCAGCUUUUGCAGUUCUCUGUAUGUUCUAGAUAUAAAUCCCUUAUCAGACACAUGAUUUUUGAGUAGUUUCUUUCAUUCCCUGGGUUGCUUUUUAAUUCUGUCGAUAUUGCUUUGAUUGUUUGUCUUUGUUUUGCUUCCAGAACAAGGUCUCACUAUGUUCCCCAAGUAAUCUCAAACUCACAGGCUUAAAUAAUCCUCUCGCUUCAACCUCCCAAGCAGUUAGGAAAUAUAGGCAUUUUGAUACUAUCUUUUAAUGCAUUUCAAAUUUUUUCAUAAAGUUCAGUUUUUUGUUUUCUUUUGUUGCCCGUGCCUUUGGUGUUGUAUCCAAGAAACUAUUGCUAAAUCCAGUGUCAAGAAGCUUUUCCCCUGUUUUCUUCUAAGAGUUUUAUAGUUUAGGUCUUACAUUUAGGUCAUGGAUUCGUUUCGAACUCGUGUUUGUAUAUGGUGUUAGGAAUGGGUCUAACUUCAUUCUUUUGCAUGUGGGUAUCCAGUUGUCCCAGCACUAUUUGUUGAAAGUCCUUCUCUCACUGAAAGUCUUGGCACCCUAUAGAUGACCAUAUAUAUAAGGAUUUGUCUCUGGGUUCUCUGUCUAGGCCAUUGGUCUAUAUUCCUGUUUUUAUGCUGAUAGUACAUAAAGAUUGUAGUAUUAAAAUCAGGAAGUAUACUUGGGAGACUGAGGCAGGAGGAUUGCUGCGAGUUUGGGGCCAGCCUGAGCUACAUCGUGAGUUCAAGACCAGC